GGUAGAGCGUGAGCGCAGUCCUUGUCUUGGGGGAGCAUAAUAUCCAGUGAUCGUAUAGUGAGGGUAUUGAUGCUGAAACCCAUUAUUUAAAUGAUAAACCCGCAUCCGAGAUCUCUCGAGAUGCAAUUUUUGCAGAGCCUCUUUACUUCACAAGAGGCUUUCUGAUACGAAGCAACAGCCUUUCGCCAAGGAGGCUGCUACUUAGUUACCUCCGGAUAACGCCGUCUACUCGCCCGUCGCUCGCCGCAUAUCAAUCGCAACAGCCGCGUACCAAAUUAAGCAGCCGGGUGACUGGCGAAACAGCCACGUCGGGAACACGUUCGAAAUGCCUAAGCAGCGGGAACCUUGGACACCAAUCAACCACUGAGUGACCCUAAUAACCAUGCGGACCAUCUGCCUGGCGAAACCACGACAAAGACUGCGACGUCCGCCUGUCUUCCUUCGCGGGAGUCUGCGAGUCGUGUGUGUGAAAUAUUUCGCGCAACGCUUCCCAACAGAGUAGCUAAUAUGUCUGUAAUUUGUACCAAGGUGUCGUGCACGAGUCUUCGUUAAUAGAUUUCUUCUCGAUUAAUCCGCCAUCAUGCCUUUUGCUUGAGAAAAAGGCGCCGAUAACUUCUGAAUAAUUAGUCGCUUGAAAAGCGGCGGUCCGGAUUCGAGUAAAUCUAAAGCGGGCUAUUUUUUUUCUCUCCCUCCUCCCUCCUCUCUCUCUCUCUCUCAUCGAUCUCUUGAGCGGACUUUAACGAGGAUACGCAAAAGUCGAAGAGCGGCAAGAGUGCUUGCGAUGAAUUAUGAAGGUCGCGACGUUUUCAAAUUAGCCGAAGUCUAUCGCAAACGUUGAUAAAAAUAUGACAUUUCUUCUCCCUUGUGAAAUAUGGAGACAAUUUCUCCUCGAUAAUUGCGUUAUCCGGCAAGCGUUUAUCGAAACUUUUCGAACUUUCAUAUUCGUUUUAAUGUCUCAGUAACCAAACGCGAAACGAAAAUUCUGUUGAGAAUGACAUGCGAUUAAAGUAAUGGGAGAAACAAAGAUACCACGGUCUAUUUGGGUUAAUUGAAGAACUCAAUUUCUACUCGAAUAAUAUCAGAAGGCAGAGAGAAAGAAAGAGAGAUAGAAAGAGAGAGAGGGAGAGAGAGGAAGAAAAAAGUGGGACGGAGCGAUUAGAGGUUCGUUUUACGAUUUAAACUCGGAUAACGCUGAUACCGCGUCUCGCGAUAGCAUAAGCCAAACAAUUCACAUGGCAAAUAAACUUCACGAUCACCAUGUAGAAAUCGCACUCACUUGCGAACAUAUACGUAAAUAUACGUAAGAACCUCUUUACCGUUGCUUGAAGAAACACUCGUGCUUGAGAUAAAGCAGCAAAGAAUACUCCCCGACAGCCUUCGGGCGAGUCGUCCUGUAGUAAAUAAAACCUCGUUAUUUUGUAAACGCGGCUGAGUAACUAGAUCAGAAGAGCCUCGUUAAGCCGUCCAAGUCAAAACGUUCGAUUAUCCGCUUAACGGUCUAUAAAUAGUGGGAUUAUCCCAAUAAGCAAGGAACAUUAAAUUAACGUUUAAAAACGUUGACUUCACAACUCCUUUCUCUUGGAAAAGAAAGUGAGGAAAAGAUAAAAAACAGAAUGUAAACUAAAAAAAGAAUUUUUAUUUCUAUACCCAUGAAGCGUGAAUAUCUCCUCGCCAGAGUCAAGUUCAAGCGCAUAAAGAAAAUAGAGAAAUCGUGUAAAAUAGACAUAGAGAUACAGUCGUAUAAAGAAAGCAGACAAAGAGAAAAGGGAAAGUGUGAACUCCAGGUGCUUCGGGGAAAGAAGAAAGACGAAGCUAAAGCUAAACUAAGCAGGUAGCAGGCAGGCAGACAAGCAGGAAGGUAGAUAUGGAAGGUAUCUCCAUUAGACAAGGGCAUCGAACUUUUACUCUCGACUGAGAGAGUUGCGUAGGUAUUACCGCGUACAUAAAGGCAGGGUCGUUCGACCAUCAUGAGGUCAUAUAAAAACCUUUGCUAUAUACAACUAUGAGACUCGCUGAGCGACCUCUAAUUCUCUGAUGCUUUCAAUUUGAACCAUGAUGAAACUCACCAACAGCUUUAUGACUCCGCAAAAACCUUUUGAGGAAAGAGAGAAGAAAGAUCUUGAAAAGAUGCUACGAACAGCUACGUCAAAUUUUACGCUCAAUUUCACGUUAACAUUGUAAAAUAUUAUGACCCAAGAAUGUGAGUCGCAAGAAUAAGAAAACUCUAUCUGUUUUCGACAUUCUUUGGUGAAUAUUGUCUUAUUAAGAUGCGUAGAAAUUUUGAAGAAAGCGUCUAAUAAAUGAAUAAUAACUAAAAAUAACAACUAAAAACGUAUAAUAAAUAAGUAAUAACUUACAAAUUAUUAUUAAAUAAUUAAUAGAUCUUCCCAUAACCUUGAUAUUGAAUGGGAUCCGAGUAAGAAUGCCGAAAACUGAAGAGUAAUAAGUAUCACCUACUGAGUAUUAUUCUCCACA